rnacentral:rRNA from 1 species
UGCCAGACUCCUCGGGAGGCAGCAGUGGGGAAUAUUGGGCAAUGGGCGCAAGCCUGACCCAGCAACGCCGCGUGAAGGAAGAAGGCUUUCGGGUUGUAAACUUCUUUUGACAGGGAAGAGCAGAAGACGGUACCUGUCGAAUAAGCCACGGCUAACUACGUGCCAGCAGCCGCGGUAAUACGUAGGUGGCAAGCGUUGUCCGGAUUUACUGGGUGUAAAGGGCGUGUAGCCGGGCUGACAAGUCAGAUGUGAAAUCCGGGGGCUCAACCCCCGAACUGCAUUUGAAACUGUUGGUCUUGAGUAUCGGAGAGGCAGGCGGAAUUCCUAGUGUAGCGGUGAAAUGCGUAGAUAUUAGGAGGAACACCAGUGGCGAAGGCGGCCUGCUGGACGACAACUGACGGUGAGGCGCGAAAGCGUGGGGAGCAAACAGGAUUAGAUACCCUAGUAU